GACGAACGCUGGCGGCGCGCUUAACACAUGCCAGUCGAACGGAAAGGCCUGCUUUCCCUUGUGGAUUGCGGGUACUCGAGUGGCGAACGGGUGAGUAACACGUGAGUGAUCUGCCCCCAACUUGGGUAUAAGCCUGGGAAACUGGGUCUAAUUCCCGAUAGGACUGCAGGGUGGUGCCUGUGGUGGAAAACGAUUUUCUAGUGGUUGGGGAUGAGCUCGCGGCCUAUCAGCUUGUUGGUGGGGUAAUGGCCUACCAAGGCGGCGACGGGUAGCCGGCCUGAGAGGGUGGACGGCCACAUUGGGACUGAGAUACGGCCCAGACUCCUACGGGAGGCAGCAGUGGGGAAUAUUGGACAAUGGGCGGAAGCCUGAUGCAGCGACGCCGCGUGGGGGAUGACGGCCUUCGGGUUGUAAACUCCUUUCGACCGCGAGGAAGCCACCUGGUUGGAAGGGUGGUGACGGUAGUGGUAGAAGAAGCACCGGCUAACUACGUG
rnacentral:rRNA from 1 species